AUGGUGAUCCUAUUGAACUCGAUGAGAAUAAUGAGGAUCCGAUCACCUACAUAGAUGUAAUAUAGAGGUCUAACUCUAUAAGUAGCUAGAAGCCAUGAAAUCUAAAAUGGAGUCCAUGAAGGUCAAUGAUGUAUGGACAUUAGUUGACCCACCUGAAGAGGUAAAACCCAUAAGGUGAAAGUGAAUCUUCAAAAAGAAGAGGGGCACAGAU
rnacentral:lncRNA from 1 species